rnacentral:rRNA from 1 species
UACGAAGGGGGCUAGCGUUGCUCGGAAUCACUGGGCGUAAAGCGCACGUAGGCGGAUUGUUAAGUCAGGGGUGAAAUCCUGGAGCUCAACUCCAGAACUGCCUUUGAUACUGAAGAUCUUGAGUUCGGGAGAGGUGAGUGGAACUGCGAGUGUAGAGGUGAAAUUCGUAGAUAUUCGCAAGAACACCAGUGGCGAAGGCGGCUCACUGGCCCGAUACUGACGCUGAGGUGCGAAAGCGUGGGGAGCAAACA